rnacentral:rRNA from 1 species
CAGAGAGCUUGCUCUCGGGUGACGAGUGGCGGACGGGUGAGUAAUGUCUGGGAAACUGCCUGAUGGAGGGGGAUAACUACUGGAAACGGUAGCUAAUACCGCAUAACGUCGCAAGACCAAAGAGGGGGACCUUCGGGCCUCUUGCCAUCAGAUGUGCCCAGAUGGGAUUAGCUAGUAGGUGGGGUAACGGCUCACCUAGGCGACGAUCCCUAGCUGGUCUGAGAGGAUGACCAGCCACACUGGAACUGAGACACGGUCCAGACUCCUACGGGAGGCAGCAGUGGGGAAUAUUGCACAAUGGGCGCAAGCCUGAUGCAGCCAUGCCGCGUGUAUGAAGAAGGCCUUCGGGUUGUAAAGUACUUUCAGCGGGGAGGAAGGUGUUGCGGUUAAUAACCGCAGCAAUUGACGUUACCCGCAGAAGAAGCACCGGCUAACUCCGUGCCAGCAGCCGCGGUAAUACGGAGGGUGCAAGCGUUAAUCGGAAUUACUGGGCGUAAAGCGCACGCAGGCGGUCUGUCAAGUCGGAUGUGAAAUCCCCGGGCUCAACCUGGGAACUGCAUUCGAAACUGGCAGGCUAGAGUCUUGUAGAGGGGGGUAGAAUUCCAGGUGUAGCGGUGAAAUGCGUAGAGAUCUGGAGGAAUACCGGUGGCGAAGGCGGCCCCCUGGACAAAGACUGACGCUCAGGUGCGAAAGCGUGGGGAGCAAACAGGAUUAGAUACCCUGGUAGUCCACGCCGUAAACGAUGUCGACUUGGAGGUUGUGCCCUUGAGGCGUGGCUUCCGGAGCUAACGCGUUAAGUCGACCGCCUGGGGAGUACGGCCGCAAGGUUAAAACUCAAAUGAAUUGACGGGGGCCCGCACAAGCGGUGGAGCAUGUGGUUUAAUUCGAUGCAACGCGAAGAACCUUACCUACUCUUGACAUCCAGAGAACUUUCCAGAGAUGGAUUGGUGCCUUCGGGAACUCUGAGACAGGUGCUGCAUGGCUGUCGUCAGCUCGUGUUGUGAAAUGUUGGGUUAAGUCCCGCAACGAGCGCAACCCUUAUCCUUUGUUGCCAGCGGUCCGGCCGGGAACUCAAAGGAGACUGCCAGUGAUAAACUGGAGGAAGGUGGGGAUGACGUCAAGUCAUCAUGGCCCUUACGAGUAGGGCUACACACGUGCUACAAUGGCGCAUACAAAGAGAAGCGAACUCGCGAGAGCAAGCGGACCUCAUAAAGUGCGUCGUAGUCCGGAUUGGAGUCUGCAACUCGACUCCAUGAAGUCGGAAUCGCUAGUAAUCGUAGAUCAGAAUGCUACGGUGAAUACGUUCCCGGGCCUUGUACACACCGCCCGUCACACCAUGGGAGUGGGUUGCAAAAGAAGUAGGUAGCUUAAC